rnacentral:rRNA from 1 species
AUCGUAACUCCUACGGGAGGCAGCAGUGGGGAAUAUUGCACAAUGGGCGCAAGCCUGAUGCAGCGGCGCCGCGUGGGGGAUGAAGGCCUUCGGGUUGUAAACUCCUUUCGCCAGGGACGAAGCGUUUUGUGACGGUACCUGGAGAAGAAGCACCGGCUAACUACGUGCCAGCAGCCGCGGUAAUACGAAGGGUGCAAGCGUUGUCCGGAAUUACUGGGCGUAAAGAGCUCGUAGGUGGUUUGUCACGUCGUCUGUGAAAUUCCACAGCUUAACUGUGGGCGUGCAGGCGAUACGGGCUGACUUGAGUACUGUAGGGGUAACUGGAAUUCCUGGUGUAGCGGUGAAAUGCGCAGAUAUCAGGAGGAACACCGAUGGCGAAGGCAGGUUACUGGGCAGUUACUGACGCUGAGGAGCGAAAGCAUGGGUAGCAAACAGGAUUAGAUACCCUAGUAGUCCUAGAGC